UCACUUAGUAGAAAUGUCAGGGU
rnacentral:piRNA from 1 species